GUUUCCAUAGUGUAGUGGUUAUCACGCCGGCUUUAUACGCUGAAGGUCCUCAGUUCGACCCCGGGUGGAAACA
rnacentral:tRNA from 1 species